UACGUGGGGUGCAAGCAUUAAUCGGAGUUAUUGGGCGUAAAGGGCGCGUAGGCGGUUUGGUAAGUCUUGAUGUGAAAUUCCCGGGCUCAACCUGGGGACUGCAUGAGAAACUGCCAAACUAGAGGAUGGACGGAGAGAACGGAAUUCCACAAGUAGCGGUGAAAUGCGUAGAUAUGUGGAAGAACACCUGUGGCGAAGGCGGUUCUCUAGUUUAUUCCUGACGCUGAGGCGCGAAAGCAAGGGGAGCAAACAGG
rnacentral:rRNA from 1 species